UAGCAGGCCACGUCACCUCA
rnacentral:misc_RNA from 1 species